AAGGAAAAUUUAUUUUUGCUGAGUUUUUGUGAGGAGAUCAGUGGUAAGACACAAACAGAAUGAGGCUCCAGGAGAUCCUGGUUCUGUUCUUAAUCCUGCUACUAAUUUUCAACAUGGCCUUGGGCAUGUCACUUUGCUUUUCUGUGCCUCAGUGUCCUCACCUGUAAAAUGGGAAUGCCAUUCAAAUCAUGGUCUACAAAGAGCUUGAAAUCCUGAGUUGGAAAGUACUUAAGAAGUGAAGAGCAUCAUUAUAAAUGCAUAGCAUAGGAAUAAGCGGCCUGCUGGAAUUGACAACAAAAUGGAAGAGAUCAGAAACCAGAGUUUAUGCCAAGGUGAACCAUGAUCAGUUCCCAGAUCAAGGGCAGGAAUUCCUUCCAGGUGCAAGAUUCUCUAUACCAGAGCACAGUGGACAGAGUCCCACCCCUGCUUCAUCCAUUUAUUAGAGAGAGAGAAGACAAAGCCAAGUACUCUUCCAUGGCUUCCUUUCUGGAGAGACACCUGAUAAAUCAUCAGAAGUUAAUGAUCAAAAAGCUUAUCAGGGUCUUUUUGUUUAUAAAUUUAUAAGACAAAAGAGAAAUAAUAAAGGCACUGGAUAAUUAGUAACUAGUCAGGGCCCGCCCGGUGCAACUGGAGCUCAAACUGCCCCAAGAUCUCUACGCAUACUCGGGAAGAAGGAGGCAGGGGUGAGACGGAGUGAGCAAGAUGUGUGGAACAGAAAGAGCUGGAUAGGCAGACACAGAAACAGUGGGGCUAGACAGAGAGAAGUGGGGAUGAGAGAGAGCAAAAGAAGGAAAGAAGAGAGAGGAGUAGGACAGGGAAGAUGGAAACAGCUGAGGCUUGUAACAAAGAAGGAGGGGUAUGAAAAGUAGUGGCAGAGGAAGGUGAGAGGCUCCUUGGGUAGGCAAGAAGAUUUAAUUGUGUGGAACAUUUUCCUCUCCAGUUUCUACUAGAGGACCCGCUGCUGCUGCUGCUGUCCUCUGUUCCACUUGUCUGUUCCAUACGCUCAUGCACCUGGCAGCCAGGCAGGGUGGUGGAGAGCUGCUCCCACAGCUCCCUCCAGGAUGAAGCUUCCCUGUGCUCUAAGAAGAAAAGUACCAGCUGAUACUGGCCCCUUUGCAACCUCUAGACAUGGAAACUGCUACAAUUACUGUAGCCAAAGGCCAGUCAGAGCCAGCAGAUUCCAGAGACUAGGAAACAAAAGAUUAACAUCUAUUAAUUUUACGAACAUCACAGAUACUGGAGCUGGACAUGGCCUUUGAUGGGCUGACUACCAUCAGCAAGGUAACUACUCCACAUGAAGCUGCUCUGGCCAGCAUUCUCCAUUGCUGAGGAGUCGGAACUGGAUUUUGCUAGAGUGACAUCUGACUUUGUAGGAGGAGGGGGUAUAGAUUUUGUGCUGUCAGUGGUGUCAUCUGAUUCUUCAUCAUUGUUGCCUUACUCUGCUAAGGGAAUUAUGUAUCUAACCAGAGAUAAAAACAGACCUUAUUUUGUUGGCUGACAGUACAGAGACUUCUCUAACAGGUCUAAGCAAUGCAGCAGUCUAUGCUCAAGAUACAGGACAUCAUAUCUCAACUGAAAGGACUCUGUGAUAUCAUAUUAUGUCACCAUUGACACCUUGGAGUAAAGUUCACCUCUUGCAGAUCUGAGGAGGUUCUGUGAGAGAGGUGUAUGACAUGAGUAUCAUCUGAUGCAUUCGAGCUGUGUUUUUUCCCAUUCAGAGGACUAAGAGCAAGUGCUGGAUUUGAAGAAAGGAUAGUGUGUGAUGCUAGAGCAUACCUGCAGAAUCCUCAUUUACUAGUCUACCUCAUCAGGUAAAAUUGUUUGGUUAUCAAACUCCCAUACUCAGUAUCUUGCCAAGCUGAACAAUCAGGAUCCAUUCACCCUUGGCCAGUGGGAACAUUGCCAUUUUGUGGACACAAUUGUUAUUUUUCAUCCCACACCAUGAAGAUUCCAGAAAAAUAAUCUAAAUACUGGUAAUUGAUUGAUGUAUUGGUUUAUCCUCCCCUCUAAUGAUGGAAAAGAGGAAGGUUUUGCUUUACUUGGGUUUAAAACACAUUACAAAUAAAAUGUUGUGUACUGAU